AAGCCCCGAAAGCUCAAACCCACACACGUGUCGACACGAUGACCUGGGUGCCCUCGGCUCAAGCCGUUGGUUGGUCAUUGGGAUACGUGGAGGCCUAACC
rnacentral:sRNA from 1 species